GAGUUUGAUCUUGGCUCAGGACGAACGCUGGCGGCGUGCUUAACACAUGCAAGUCGAACGGAAAGGCCCUGCUUUUGUGGGGUGCUCGAGUGGCGAACGGGUGAGUAACACGUGAGUAACCUGCCCUUGACUUUGGGAUAACUUCAGGAAACUGGGGCUAAUACCGGAUAGGAGCUCCUGCUGCAUGGUGGGGGUUGGAAAGUUUCGGCGGUUGGGGAUGGACUCGCGGCUUAUCAGCUUGUUGGUGGGGUAGUGGCUUACCAAGGCUUUGACGGGUAGCCGGCCUGAGAGGGUGACCGGCCACAUUGGGACUGAGAUACGGCCCAGACUCCUACGGGAGGCAGCAGUGGGGAAUAUUGCACAAUGGGCGGAAGCCUGAUGCAGCAACGCCGCGUGCGGGAUGACGGCCU
rnacentral:rRNA from 1 species